CGCGACAACGCAUUAUAGGCUACUGUCAAAAAAAGUUGAAACAGGGUAUUUUUAUUUAAAAAGUUACACUGUAGUUUGUAAAGACCUGAUUCACAUGUGAUACUUUGUUGAGAAACUAUAGUUUAAUCUAUUUGUGACAAUUUAUUUCCACAAAUUAAAAGGAGCAUAGGAGGAUUUUACAUUCUGUGAGGUAUGUAAAAUGGUGAAAUGAUAGUUAAUUUAUGUAUAUUAAUAAAAUUAAAAAUAUAUGUCUUAAAAUGUUAA